rnacentral:tRNA from 1 species
GCCUGGGUGGCUCAGUUGGUUGAGCAUCCGGCUUCAGCUCAGGUCAUGAUCUUACAGUUCAUGGGUUCGAGCCCCGUAUCGGGCU